GACGAACGCUGGCGGCGUGCCUAAUACAUGCAAGUUGAGCGCUGAAGGUUGGUACUUGUACCAACUGGAUGAGCAGCGAACGGGUGAGUAACGCGUGUGGCCUCUGCCUUUGAGCGGGGGACAACAUGUGGAAACGAAUGCUAAUACCGCAUAAAAACUUUAAACACAAUUUUUAAGUUUAAAAGUUGCAAUUGCAUCACUCAAAGACGAUCCCGCGUUGUAUUAGUUAGUUGGUGAGGUAAAGGCUCACCAAGGCGAGGAUACAGAGCCGACCUGAGCGGGUGGGCAGCCACACUGGGACUGAGACACGGCCCAAACGGCUACGGGAAGCAGCAGUAGGGAAACUUCGGGAAUGGGCGAAAGACUGACCGAGCAAGGCCGCGGGAGUGAAGAAGGUUGUCGGGUGGUAAAACACUGUUGGUGGGGAAGAACGUUGGUGAGAGUGGAAAGCUCAGCGAGUGACGGUAACUACUCAGAAAGCAACGGCUAACUACGUG
rnacentral:rRNA from 1 species